AUCAGGGUUAAGGUGAUCAUAGUGACUCAGCCAUAACUCAGGCUGCUGGUGUGCCAUACACAUUCAGAACACAGGAAUACAGAGAACCUGAAAAUUACUGGAAGCAAAAGUAGAAAGAAUAAAAAUGGAAAACUUUUUCUGUAUUGCAUUAAAAAAAAAAUCACGACUUCUUCUGGAAAGAGGCAAAUGAGACAAACAUUGGCUUCAUUUUACAAGAGGAGGCUCGAAGCCCGUUUUGAACACCAACAGCAUGUGCAGUGCUGUGUGCUGAGGUAAUGGGAAGGAUCGCCUCAUCUGAUGACUCAACGAGGAGCAGAUGGCCCGUGGGAGCUGGAGAAGGACUUUUCCCUCCUCAGUGGAGGACAGCACGGCCCUAGGCAUGGGGGCGGCAGCGGCAGGGGUGGAGGGCUUGCCUGGUUUUCAGCCCAGUACAUACCAGGAUGCACAAGAGGACGAGUCCUCAGCAGAGGAGCUCUCUUCUCAGCCUUGCCAGCAACAGUGUGCUCUUUGGGUCUUCUAUUUCACAUGCAGUGCAUCUAACAGGUCUGCACCUGGAGACUCCCACCUAAGAUGGGGGUUUAGAUGAGACCACUCUGGGAGGACACGCAGCCGAGUGUGGAGGCCCCGAGGAAGAUCAGCUCUGAAGACACAGGCAGGCAAAGGGCAGACCUCGAAGGAGAUGGAGGAGGAAUGACAGAGGGCAAGAAGAAUCAGGUUUACUGUCUGCCAGGCUGCCAAACCCCAACCCUCGCCACAUCCGCAGCCACCACGUAAAGUGACUGUUAGAACUUCAAACGAAGGAUCUGACCCCCGGAAAUGGCCUCAUGCUAGUUUUUUCCUAAACAGUCACCAGGAAAAUGACGGAAGGCAAAUCGAAACGCAUGCCCUGAAAGACUUAGAACAUAACCAUCACAUCUGGGGGACAAGAAGCCCACCCCAACUUAAUUUAAAAAGGAAACACAGCAGAUGUCAUCAGUUGGCAGGGAGGUGUCUUGAAGGAAAGAAGGAGGGGAAUGAGAGGGCUGUGGAUCACCAUGCAGCUUUACCUUAACACCUGCAUCUCCUCGGGGGAGCAUUGCAUCUCGUCCUGGAGGCGACGCCAGCGCAGACAAGCCCUCAGCUCCUGCUGCUCCCGGGCCUCAUAGGGGGCCAGCUGCUCAGCCACAGACACACAGACACACAUGCACAAAACACAGUCACUGUUGUGGUCCUGGUGCAAUGGCUCACUUUGUUUCAAUGGGGGACAAGAUAGCCUGCCCCUGCUCUCACCUUGCUUCCAUCAGAAACCUAAAGGCCACUGGAGCCUCUUAGUGCCUAAAACAAAAAACCAACCGUGCACGCUCGCUUGUGCUGCUGGCCGUGGAGCUGGGCCUGCUGUUUGGCGGAGGUCGCCUUGUUCUGGAACCCACCCAUCCCACCGACACACACCUGGUCUGGAGAGAGUGGGCUUCCCUUGGGACCAUUUCCACUUUGAUCUGUCCUCUUUUCCUGCUUUGUCUUUCUGCACAGGAUGGGGAAGGCCCCACCGUUCACCUCCGAUUUUCCCCAGCCCUCAAUUUUGUUAAGGACUGUUUCCAGCGGGGCCUGCUAAUGCAACCCAGAUGAUUCUGUGUGCACAUAACUAGAAGUGCUGCCUGGACUCACUCUGGGGGAGGGGAGGCCAUCACACUCUGCCCUACUGAGUCAGAACCAGCUGCCGUCCCAUGGUGUGCUCACUGGGCCACACGGCCCCGACCUCUGUGAGGGAAGGCAGCAGAGCACCCACUGGGGAGGGAAGACGUCUAUCCACGGGUGUUUCUGGAAAUCAAACUUUCCUGAUAAUUCGUUCAACAGAUAUUUACUGAGUCUCUGCUAGGCCAUGGGGACAUUACAGACAGGGCCUGGGGCAGCAGCCAGGGGAGGGAGAGAUGGGCAGGAACACUAACAUCAGAGAGCAGGUGACGGGAGAGGUGAAGGGAGAACCCAGAUGCCCCCUUGCCCACCAGGGCUUCCUGAGGAGGUGGUGGUGACAGCACUGAUCCUCAGGGAAGGAGGAGUCGGCCGGGGAGGAGGGAUUUCGGGAAGAGCACUUGCAAGGCACGUCGGGCCAGGAAGUGUGUGAUGUGCUUAGAGAAUGGCAAGGCAUAUGGUCAGGCCUGGAGCAGACUACCAUUCUGGGAGGGAGCAAGGUGCAGGGAAGCUGGCAGAGGCCAGACGAUCCUCAGACCCCAUGUGCCUGCUGUUAUGGACUAAACUGUGUCUCCACAAAAUAUAUGUGUUGAAGGCCUUACCCCGGUGUGACUGUAUUUGGAGAUAAGGCUUUCAAGGAGGUCAUUAAGGUUAAGUAAGUCAUGAGUGGGGCCCUAAUCCUACAGGGCUGGUGUUCUUAUAAGAAGAGGAAGAGCCAACAGAGCGUACUUUCUCUCUGCAUGCACAGAGGAAAGGCCAUAUGAGAACGCAGAGAAAAAGCAGCUCGUGGCCACCUGCAAGCCAGGAAGAGUGAGGGGCCUCACCAGAAACCAACCCUGCUGGCACCUUGGUCUUGGACUUCCAGCCUCCAGAACUGUGAGGAAUAAACGUCUGUUGUUUAAUUCACCCAGUCUCUGGUAUUUAUUAUGGCAGUCCAAGCAGACUAAUAUGUCUGUGAAGGCAUUUAGACUUUCUCCAGGUUGAUGACAAGUUACACCAUCCAACCUUGCGACUGACUUGAU
rnacentral:lncRNA from 10 species